rnacentral:rRNA from 1 species
ACGUAGGUGGCAAGCGUUGUUCGGAAUUAUUGGGCGUAAAGCGCGCGCAGGCGGUUAUAUAAGUCUGAUUUUAAAGUUCGGGGCUCAACCCCGUGAUGGAUUGGAAACUGUAUGACUUGAGUACAGUAGAGGUAAGCGGAAUUCCCAGUGUAGCGGUGAAAUGCGUGGAAAUUGGGAGGAACACCAGUGGCGAAGGCGGCUUACUGAGCUGGAACUGACUCUGAGGCGCGAAAGCUAGGGUAGCAAACGG